UACGGGGGGGGCAAGCGUUGUUCGGAAUUACUGGGCGUAAAGGGCUCGUAGGCGGUUUGUCACGUCGGGAGUGAAAACACGGGGCUUAACCCCGUGCCUGCUUCCGAUACGGGCAGACUAGAGGUAUGCAGGGGAGAACGGAAUUCCUGGUGUAGCGGUGAAAUGCGCAGAUAUCAGGAGGAACACCGGUGGCGAAGGCGGUUCUCUGGGCAUUACCUGACGCUGAGGAGCGAAAGUGUGGGGAGCGAACAGG
rnacentral:rRNA from 1 species